UUGCUUAUCUUUCCCUCAGGUUUCCUCCAAAAUAUUUUGCUCCCUUCCUUCCUCACUAUGAUGAACCUACCUUUUAGGUUCCCUAUUUCUUGGUCCCUCUUCCCGUUCAGUUUUCCAAUCCUCACUGCCCUUAUCCACACUCCCUCCUGCCUGUGAAAUUUUAAUCUCAAGCAAACUUUUACCUCCCUCAUAAAAACUAGUUUGUUUGCCAACAUUCUGUGGUUGAGUUUCAUUACCUCAGCAGUUGAAAUGCCAGUGAACAUUUGUUGACAUCAUAUGAUUGCUGCCAAGACUGCCAGCAAGAUGAUAUGACAGGGGUGUUGUUGUUAUCAGCCCCUUGCAUAAGCCUUUGCCAGUAGAGGCUGUUGCAAUAAAAGAUACUGCCCUACUUAUUCUGAAUCAUUGAAUUCCCAAGCAGAAAAACAACAGCCUACACCAAGAAAAUGAAAGUAUACUAUGGAAUAGUCAACAUGAAAAAGAAUCUUGAUAAACUCAACUCUACACGAAGUUUCUGAAAGUAAGACCCACUGAGUUCAAUGUGAUUUCCUUCCAAAUGCAGAUGCUGUUGAGGGUGUCAUCCAUCAAUGUACUGAAAAGGUCUUUGCUGCUGAACAGGAAGUCCUCCACUACUGAUCUUACUUCCUGGUGAAGUCCUGCAGUAUGAAGCCAAGCAUAGCAUCUCAAAGAAAAAGCGGCUGUAAGGUGUAUAACCCCCAUAUGUGUGAGUCACAGAGUUCACGAAGAAGAAACAAUGGUAAUCUGAAGAGGCAUAUUAAUGUGUGUGAUUGAUUGAUUGUACUUAUUUCCUCCUGCUUCAAGGGUUCACAGAGAAUUAUACCACUUGCUUACUAUACUGACAAGUCAAAUCUUAUAACAUCCUACAGUAUUUGAUACAUUUUGUAAUAUUAUCUAAUUACAUUCUGACACAAAUGUACUUCUCAUUCUUGCAUUACCUAUGUCACAAAAAUCCCUUUUAACAAUACCUAGUGGGAAGUUAUGACCAAUACUAGUUACCAAACAAUUUUUCCAUAGAACAUAUGUGUUAAUUUCUAAUAAAAUAAUUAAUCCUUUCCUUCAUCCUACCUUCUGUCAGGA